rnacentral:rRNA from 1 species
GACGAACGCUGGCGGCGUGCCUAAUGCAUGCAAGUCGCACGCAGAGUGCUUGCACUCUGAGUGGCGCACGGCUGAGGAUCACGUGGGAACAUGCCUCCUUGUGGGGGACAACAGCGCGAAAGCGCUGCUAAUCCCGCAUACGCUCUUGUUAAGAGAGGAAAGCUUUCAAAAGCGCAGGGAGAGUGGCCCGCGGCCCAUCAGGUCGAGGUGGGGUAAUGGCCUACCUAGCCGAUGACGGGUAGCUGGUCUGUGAGGACAGACAGCCAGACUGGGACUGAGACACGGCCCAGACUCCUACGGGAGGCAGCAGCAAGGAAUUUUCGCAAUGGGCGCAAGCCUGAACGAGCAACGCCGCGUGGAGGACGACGG